ACGCGUUUUUCUCUACAAUAUUAUCAACUUUAUUAAUGCAUUAUGUAAUAUGAUGGAAGAAAACAAAAAAAAAGGAGGAGAAGCGAACCGGUAGUAAACAAGACUUUUAUUACAGUUCUUAGUAUUUCCCUUCGAUGGAGAGGGAGCCAAGAAUCUAUAUCGCCUCAGAGACGUACUCACUAAGAAAAAGAGUUCCUGGUUCUUGCGAUUCACAGCAUUAAUUAUACCUUGCACUUUGGAGAUCAGCCACUCAAUUUUCCGCCUUUCCUUAUACCCUGAUGAUGUUACAACGAGACAAUCCGAGGGACUCCAUUUCACAUGAAAGUUUCUCUAGACUUCGAACUCCACAAUCCCAAAGGUAGAGGUAAUUUCUAAAAAUUGGUAGAAUAAAUUAAAAGGUUUCAAAUUAUUUUUGGCAAAAAUAACAAUAAAAAAUAACUCUCUUAUUUUAAUUCUCGGGACUUGUUUGUAAAAUACAGGACGUCCCCACUGUGUACCUCAGCCAUUUUUGACGUGUGUUAGUGAAUGUGUUGUUCAAAACGUUUGGAUAUGCAUGUUCCAAACCAUUGCUAAUACCAAGCCGCUCAAACCUUUGCCUUGUGAUUGAUGAAGGGUCCUUCUAUUCAUGACCAAUAUUAACAAUCGAAGCUUGGCUUAAUAUUUUUGUUUGGAAUGACUUCUAAUCCAAGGCAUGCAGGGAUUGGAAGACAAAGAUAAUUACCCCCCAGAGAACAUUCGCCGUGUUCUUUGGGAUAGAAAGAAGUUAUUCAACACGAGGCAACCGUCUCAUAUAUAUUGGCCUGCAGAAGUAAUCCCUGUAAUACUUAGGAACUCACUCUUACUGUUCAGUCGAGGAUUAUAAUUGAGUGGUUCGUUUGAACCUAGUAAAAGGAUGAUAUUCACAAUGAUAGAGCUCCAUACUGAGCACAUCUCCCUCCAAUGAUAACCCGAUCUUUUCAACACUACAAACUUUUCAGAUGGAACCAUUUUCAGCAUAUUGAAAACCAAUCCCUUGAAAGAAUUUUGUUUUGAUUUUUAAUUAAUUUCCCAAAAAUCACCAGAGCUUCUGAUUCGUUUUAAACAAGAGAAAUUCAGCGCCUUCCACAUACCUUCUAGGAGUGUAGAACAAAGCUCUUGCAUGCCCCCAUACUAAAUCUUCGCUUAAUUUUUAUAUGCCCUCACAUAUCAUCCUUGAAAAAGGCACGUAUCUCAGCAGGUGGAAUGUUUUUGGGAGGAUAUGGAUAUCACUGGCCUUCAAUUUCUCAUAUCUACUAGAAACUUCCAUCCCUAGAAGUGAAAAAGACAUAAGAUAUUCGUCAUAGUUGGAUAAGAUCCUAGUCUUCUCGAUGUUGAUGGAGAAACCCGAUUUUUUUUUUUUUUGAAAUCCUGAAUGACUUCAUAGCAUGGGAGAUGGCAUAUGCCAGUUUUUCUUGCGUUAUCGUUAAAAAUAAAGUAAGAUCGUCAGCAUAUAAUAAGCACUUCAGUGACAUUUCAUUUAUUUUCAGACCUUCCAGGCUGGAGUUGUGGUAGAUAAUUCCGUUCAAUCCGUUGAUUGCAAUCAGAAAGAGGGAUGGUGAUAGCUAAUCUCCUUGUCGAGCUCAACGCUGAAUGCAAAACUUAGAAUGAGCACCGGGAAUAUCAAUGCUCGAUGAUGAGUUCUUAAGGAUGGCAGAAACCAUUUUAACAAAUCUAUUCGGUUGAACAUUUUUUAAUGAGUCAAAUACGAUAUUAAACCACUGAAAAGCUGUUCAACAAUUUAUUAACAUUAUAGAUAUUUGUUUUUUAUUUUACAUGAACAUAUUAUCAAUCAAUUUGAUCAUGCGGUACUUCUUAACCAGCUAAUCCCUUUCUUCUUUUCGUUAUUCCCUCAACGUGAAUACUUUUAUACACUCUUCUUAAAAAUAAUUUUCCCGUCAUGACGUCUCUAGUAUCUUUUAUGAUCAGUGUUAACAAUUAAAAUAUUUUAUGAGGUUCAGUUAACCUUAAAACCACGGCUUUUAAGGAAUUAAUCACUUUUUUAAAUUAGUAUAAAUUAUGGUACUCAUAUCAACAUGUAUGUUGAUCAUGCUGUCGCAAUAUUGAGAAAAAUUAUCCCAGCUUAUUUGCACGUUAUUGCUAGACAUAUACUGUGAUAUUCAUUUCUCCCUAUACGGAUUCAAGCUGAUUAAAUCGAAUUUUAGCAGAACUUGGCAUAUAUAUAGAAAAACUUUCUUCCCCUCCAGCUAUUACUAUUAUUAUAUAUGAACUCUAUUUAUUUAUUAUAUACUCGCUAAUAUAUUUAUAUAGACAAUAUACAUUAUAGAUGUUGGAAUAUUUAUCAUAUGAGAUUCUACCCAACCUCUACAUCUUAAUAAUA
rnacentral:lncRNA from 1 species